rfam:Desulfosporosinus lacus DSM 15449 genome assembly, contig: EJ50DRAFT_scaffold00002.2
AUAACAACUGUGAAAAGGAUAGUAAUAAAGAACUUGGGUUUUAGAGACAUAAUCCUCGGGUGAAAGAUUAUGACGAAGGUUUUUUAUGAAGAUCACCUUGGAGUUGGGCGGCUGAAAUAAUCUAAGCUGUUCCGUAGACAUACGUUACAUGUUUUAAGCGAUUAAUGGCUUGUUUAUUUAAGCUAUCCAUUAAUAACAAGGGUGGUACCGCGGAUAAUCCGUCCCUGAG